rnacentral:lncRNA from 1 species
GUGACAAAACGGUGAAAACCUGAGGCCAGGUCGUUGCUGUCAGAUGGGGACGGAGUCCUGCAGCAGUCAGAGGUGACAGAACACACUGAUGCUGCUACCAGGAAGCUCGAGAGAAAUGUGACUGAGUGAUACAGUGCGCAUGUGCCUAUGGAGAAAGGAGGCUAUCUGUGAGCUCUAGCAGUGCUUUUCUCUGCCCAGCAACAUCUCUGCUUCUUUCCUACGUUCUGCUUAAGCAGCUGUUCUGCAUUUAUGAUCUGAUCUGCACGCUGAGUCAACGUCGCUGUAACGACAUGGAUGGAGGGCAGAGGUCCGCAGGUUUGCUUUGAGGAAGCCCCAUAAACAGGGUAAUAGCACCAGAGUUACUGUUCUCUUGAACUAAAGGGAGAGAAAGUAAGCUGCCAAUCAAAAAGAACAUCUCGUGGCACAGGCAGAUGUUUCUGAUGGCGAUGCCGGAGCCAGCAGAACCCCUGCAGCAGUGCAGCCCCAUGGUGCUGGAGGCCCUUCCAGACUGGAGGUGUGGCGGUGGUCUGCAUGUCAGCAGAGCAGUCCCAGCAGCGUUCAGCAUGGAUGAGCCUGGUGCAGCACAUCACAGCUCAGAUGGGUUCUCCCAGGCGGCUGUGCAGCACAGAGCUAAUACAUGGAAUACAGGCUCAGCACCGUGAGUCAGCACUGCCGGAGCCCAGACUUGUUUGCAGCAGCAGCGAGGCGGUGCGGGAGGUGUGGGCUGCGGGAGCCCUUCUGCCCAAACGCCAUCCGGGAUGAAAUGGGGCUAACAGGGAGCAAAAGGCUGAACGGUGCUCGUGGACUCGUUCUGCACCGACCUGCCAGUCUGCAGGCCCCAAAAAUACAGGCACGGCCCAAAGGUUUCUAUUCAGGGCUCAGCAGUGGAAUAAGGAACAUGAGCCGUGGGAUAUCCCGUGUCACCGCAGGCUGCUCAGCCUGGAAGGGGCUGGUGGCAAAGGGAGGAAACGUCAGAAACGCCAUGGACUAUUUUAGAUCUGCAACCUCAGUUCUGCAAAGGUAUUUAUUUUGAAAAUUCUGGUUUCCAUAGCAAUGUAGUGCUGCUCUCUCUCGUCUCCCUUCUAUUAGCCCAAUCUUCCCAGCCAUUAGAUAAAUUAUCAGUGAAGCCAAGCUUAGCGUUUUUUAUCUGGAGUGAUUUUUGGUCUGGCUGUUCCUCGGUGAAUCAGAGGCAGGCAGGGAUUGCUCACAUCCUUUCCCGGGGCAGACAGGAGCUGCGCUGCAGUCUGAGCAGAGCAACGCAGAGUGCUGCUGACUGCACUUG